rnacentral:rRNA from 1 species
CGGCGGACGGGUGAGUAACGCGUGGAUAACCUGCCUCAUACAGGGGGAUAACAGUUGGAAACGGCUGCUAAUACCGCAUAAGCGCACAGUACCGCAUGGUACGUGUGAAAAACUCCGGUGGUAUGAGAUGGACCCGCGUCUGAUUAGGUAGUUGGUGGGGUAACGGCCUACCAAGCCGACGAUCAGUAGCCGACCUGAGAGGGUGACCGGCCACAUUGGGACUGAGACACGGCCCAA